CAUGUGCCCUGCUGCUCUAACCACUAGACAGUACUCUCCUCCCAGAGCUGGGAUAGAACCCAGGAGUCCUGCCUCCACCUGCUAAACCAGACUCCGCCUCCUCCCAAUCCCAGAGCUAUCCAGGUGCCAGCCGGACGAGUCUCCCCAGGCGCCCCACAGCAGCAGUUCCGAGACCAGCCCUACCCUUUUCUCAAAGGAACAGGAGUCCUCCAUAGCCACAGACGGGGUAACGGUACGUCUCCCCUGCUUUUCCCCGGCAGAUUUCCAUGGCCGUUCUCACCGGCAUUGUCUUCUUGUAUGUUCUCCACCAAGUCCUGGGGCCCGUGAUCUGGGCCGGCUUCACCCGACUCAUCCAAAGGUUUGAAGAGGCCCUAGAUGUUCGCACAGAGUCCAACAUCACCUUCUCCGGCUCUUCCUCCAUCCAAAGCCAGGAGAGCUCCCACCACACGUCCCCCUUGUAGAUCUGAAUCAGCAGCAACGGCCACCUGCCCCGGUGCCGCAUGGAAGAACCGGCCCCUCAGCGUCCCAUCGUCCCCAUCGCAAGUCCCAGCCUGUAUCCAAACAUUCCUUUCCUCUCUGCGGUCCCCAGCAGCCCGAGAGCCCCCUCCCCUUCCUCCCCUGCUCCCUGCUUCGGGCCGGGACCUUUUGUCACCGACUUGGCUGACGAGUCCAGGCAGGCUAGACCCAAGCUGUGGUGGGCGUGCUAUUGCUCAGAUCUGGCAUCGCUCUGCGGCUUUCCUGGCUAAAGCAGAGGGGAUCAGGGCUUUCCACAGUAGCCCUGGAGCAAACGAGUCUGUCAGAACUAUAAAGACCUGAACCCACAGGGCGUUGCUCUAAACGCCUCAGCCAGAGAACGGUGGCCGGCCUUUCCCAGUGCAGCUGAAACAGGAGCUCCAUUUGGCCACCCAUUUCGAUGCUCCCGGCCUUAUCCGUGAUGGUACCCAAGCUCCAGGCAUGAUCGGAAGGGUAGUGAGCGGCUGCUCCAGUCUGAGCAGGAUUGGGAGCUCCCGCGCAGUGAGUGGGACCUUUGGAUACAGGAACUCCCAUGUCAAAAUCUCUCGCUUUGUUGAACGAAUGAAAAUCUUCCCAUCUC